AGUGAACGCUGGCGGCGUGCCUAAUACAUGCAAGUCGAACGAAGUGGCGCACGGGUGGGUAAUAUAUAGAUAAUGUGCCCUACACAGAGGAGCGACAGUUGGUAGCGACUGCUAAUACCUCCUAGUGUCGGAUGAGACUAUAUCGUACCAGCUAGUUGGUAGGGUAAUGGCUUACCAAGGCUAUGACGCGUAACUGGUCGGAGAGGAUGAUCAGUCACAUUGGAACUGAGACACGGUCCAAACUCCUACGGGAGGCAGCAGUAAGGAAUAUUGCGCAAUGGGGGAAACCCUGACGAAGCAACGCCGCGUGGAGGAUGACAAUUUUCGGAGCGUAAACUCCUUUUAUCAGGAAAGCGGUACCUGAUGAAUAAGCACCGGCUAACUCCGUGCCAGCAGCCGCGGUAAUUC
rnacentral:rRNA from 1 species